GGAGAUUGCAGUAAGAACAGUGAGCCAGAGCUCCAACCUGUGACAAUCCCACAGGAAUCAUGGGAUGUGCUUGUGCUGUCAGGUCCUGUGAGAGACAAUGUACCAAACACAGGUCUAAGCAGGUAAUCUGGCUUCCUUCCUUGCUGUGGGCAGAGCAGAUCCAAGGAUCAGACUGAAAACGGAAGAUGUGAGAUCUCUGGCUCCAUUCUAAUGCCCUUGUGAUGAUACUGCUCGCCAGAAGUCUCCCCCCCCCCCCCCCCCACUCGAUCAAAAGAUGCAAAUGUGUAGAAUUCUUUUUUGGCUUCAAUAUAUUUCUCAAGAAACCAAAAGAUCACAAUAGUGAAGAACUGACGAAACACAAAGAACACUAAGUGGAAAGUACUCACAAGAUAUCUUGGGUUAUCUGAUGCAUAUAUUCUCUCCUCGGAAAAAGAUUGAUAUUGAAGACAUGAUGUAGUAAAAUAUGGUUAAUAAAAACUUUUGAAAUACAAA